GUUUGACUUCUCGCCUCUCCUCUGUCCCAGCCUGCUCCGGCUCCACAGAUACCCUUUACAUGCCUUAUUUAAGUGGCCCAGAGACCUGGCUUCCGUCCAAGCGCAUGGGUCAUUUAUCUUUCUUCUCCAUCCACUCCUUCGGCUUUUGUCCCUGGCGCAGACCGAGCCGCGGCCUGAUAUUGCGUUUCGGGCUCCAUUGUCCUUCACAGAACAGGCACCAGAGAGGGCACCUGGGUGAAGAGAAGGACACUUAGAUUGGCAUUCGGAUGAUUGACGGGACAUGUGCAUAGCCUGGCCUUGAAAAUGCGUUACUACUGAACGCGGCAGAGCAGAAGACCUAAGAACCAUUCUGGACACACACUUGGACACAGAACACGGCGAGCUUUACAGAAACCUUCUCUACAGGAAGAUAACAGAUGACAGCUGGGGUUCGGUGAGAUCUGAUUGGCUACCUGUUCCUCUGCCAGCUGCAGUAAAAAAAAAAAAAAAAAAAACACCCAAAAGCACAAGAGCUGCGUUAUCCAUGACUUCUUAAAGCAGCAGCGGCAGAUCUGCAGUCAUCUUCCUGCUCUGGUGGCUUUCUGGUUUGUCUCAAAGAUGCCUGCUGCGUGCUUACCUUGGGAAAGUCAUAAAAGAGAUUCUUUUGAGUCAGGAAUAAUGGCAUGUUUUAGGUAGAAGGAAACAGAGAUAGCAGCAGACACACAGACAGAGAGUUGAAGAAGUGAGUAAAAUUUUCCGACUGCUGUUCAUGUUCAUGUAGGUCAGGAUUGUUUCAGCUACUAAUUGGCCAAUCGUGUAUCAUACAGGGUCAGGUGUCCCGGCCUGGCCUCCGCUUUACUGCUGCAUGCCCAAUAAGUCUCUCUAGAGCAUGCAUUCAGACGUAGUUUUUGCCAAGAGGGUGUGUGUGGGAGCGAGAGAAACGGAGAGGUCUGUGUUUUGCAAUGAUGUAAUCAGAGUCCAUGCCAGUGAGAACUCGAGUCAUUGAGCUUUACACGAUACUCAGCCGAGCUCAACCGACAACCAAGUGACAUGCCAAUCCUUCGUCAUUUAUUUACCUGUGGCUUUUUGUAGCCUGCUUCAUCGCAGACACCUGAUUCCUCUUCUCCCUCUACUUCUUCUAGAGCUCUGGCUGAGUUUAGCUGACCUCUCUCCCUCUCUCUCUCUUACAUUCUCCCACUCAUCGUCUAACUUUAAUCAAGUAAAUGGAU
ensembl:lncRNA